rfam:Loxodonta africana unplaced genomic scaffold scaffold_47, whole genome shotgun sequence.
GCAGUGGUGGUUCAGUGCUAGAAUUCUUGCCUUCUAUGUUGGAGACCCUGGUUCAAUUCCCAGCCAGUGCA